rnacentral:rRNA from 1 species
UACGGGGGGGGCAAGCGUUGUUCGGAAUUACUGGGCGUAAAGGGCUCGUAGGCGGCCAACUAAGUCAGACGUGAAAUCCUUCGGCUUAACCGGGGAACUGCGUCUGAUACUGGAUGGCUUGAGGUUGGGAGAGGGAUGCGGAAUUCCAGGUGUAGCGGUGAAAUGCGUAGAUAUCGGAAGGAACGCCGGUGGCGAAAGCGGCGUGCUGGACCUCUUCUGACGCUGAGGCGCGAAAGCCAGGGGAGCAAACGGG